AGACGUGUGAUCUUCCUAGGGGUUUGGAAAUGUAACUUACCGUCCAGUUAACAUCUCCACUGUAGCAAGCCAAUGGUGGGUUUGUAGUGGUCCCUAUGGCGAGUGUAAUUUGAACGGCACAAUUAGAAACGCCCCCACUUGUACCCAAUCAGGAGGCUGGGAUGCCCCCCUAGGGGCACAUGAAC